UACGUAGGGGGCAAGCGUUGUCCGGAAUUACUGGGCGUAAAGCGCGUGUAGGCGGGACGGCAAGUCGGUCGUGAAAGGCUUCGGCUCAACCGGAGAUGGCCGAUCGAACUGCCGUUCUUGAGGGUCGAAGAGGAGAGUGGAAUUCCGUGGAUGUGAGCGGUGAAAUGCGUAGAGAUCAGGAGGAACACCCAUGGCGAAGGCAGCUCUCUGGUCGACCUCUGACGCUGAGACGCGAAAGCGUGGGGAGCGAACGGG
rnacentral:rRNA from 1 species